rnacentral:snRNA from 1 species
AGCUUUGCGCAGUGGCAGUAUCGUAGCCAAUGAGGUUUAGCCGAGGCGCAAUUAUUGCUAUUUA